GACGAACGCUGGCGGCGUGCCUAAUACAUGCAAGUUGAGCGAUGAAGAUUGGUGCUUGCACCAAUUUGAAGAGCAGCGAACGGGUGAGUAACGCGUGGGGAAUCUGCCUUUGAGCGGGGGACAACAUUUGGAAACGAAUGCUAAUACCGCAUAACAACUUUAAACAUAAGUUUUAAGUUUGAAAGAUGCAAUUGCAUCACUCAAAGAUGAUCCCGCGUUGUAUUAGCUAGUUGGUGAGGUAAAGGCUCACCAAGGCGAUGAUACAUAGCCGACCUGAGAGGGUGGUCGGCCACAUUGGGACUGGGACACGGCCCAAACUCCUACGGGAGGCAGCAGUAGGGAAUCUUCGGCAAUGGACGCAAGUCUGACCGAGCAACGCCGCGUGAGUGAAGAAGGUUUUCGGAUCGUAAAACUCUGUUGGUAGAGAAGAACGUUGGUGAGAGUGGAAAGCUCAUCAAGUGACGGUAACUACCCAGAAAGGGACGGCUAACUACGUG
rnacentral:rRNA from 1 species